rnacentral:rRNA from 1 species
UACGGGGGGAGCAAGCGUUGUUCGGAUUUACUGGGCGUAAAGGGCGCGUAGGCGGUCAGCACAAGUCAGUUGUGAAAUCUCCGGGCUUAACUCGGAAAGGUCAACUGAUACUGUGCGACUAGAGUGCAGAAGGGGCAACUGGAAUUCUCGGUGUAGCGGUGAAAUGCGUAGAUAUCGAGAGGAACACCUGCGGCGAAAGCGGCUCUCUGGAACGGUACUGACGCUGAGACGCGAAAGCGUGGGGAGCGAACAGG